AUGAGAUUAGCUCAGUUGGUUAGAGCCUGGUGGUAAUAACACUGAGGUUGUUGGUUCAAUCCCCAUCCGAGC